UACGUAGGGUGCGAGCGUUGUCCGGAAUUAUUGGGCGUAAAGGGCUCGUAGGCGGUUUGUCGCGUCGGGAGUGAAAACCCAGGGCUUAACCCUGGGCUGGCUUCCGAUACGGGGCAGACUAGAGGUAUGCAGGGGAGAACGGAAUUCCUGGUGUAGCGGUGAAAUGCGUAGAUAUCUGGAGGAAUACCGGUGGCGGAAGGCGGCAUCCUGGACCGGCAUUGACGCUGAUGAGCGAAAGCUAGGGGAGCAAACGGG
rnacentral:rRNA from 1 species